AGCAGAAUGGCCUAGUGACAAAGCACAGACCUUGGUGUCUGAGGACCUGUGUUCUAAUCCCAGUAUUGCCA
rnacentral:tRNA from 1 species